CGUGGCGACUGGACAUGUCAACCGGCUUGAAGUGUGUGAUUUAUUUGUUUAAUAAUUCUAUUAAUAUUCUGUUAUAGUUUAUAAAGUGUUAUUAAUAGUAUUUAAUCAAUAAGUGUUCAUUUAAUCAUUUAUUAUAUCAAAAUUAAAUAAUUUUUGUGAAAUUUUUUGAUGUUUUACAAUGGUUAUCUGGUAUUUCGUAUUAUAUAAUUCUGAAUCAGAAUUUAAUUCAUUGUUUUAUUUUAAUAUAAUUGUAAUUUUAAACAUUUGUUUUAUUGUUUUUUUUAUUUAUAUAAGUUAUUAUUUCAUUGUUGAAAGUGAUCGAAGAAAUGAUGGGUUACAUAGCCACGCCGUACCAAUUUACGCAGUUGACGAAUUUUCUGCAAAAAAAUCUGGUUAUUAAUUGUUAUGUUGAACAAGGCGGUAAAAAUUUCAUAUUUGAAAGAUUUGUGACUGCGCGCAAUGCAGUCUUUCGAGUCAGUGUUUGUUGCGUAACAGUAUACAUUUUUAAUAUUUUUUAGAAUAUAUAAAGUUUUAAUUUAAUUUAAUUAUAAUAACCAUUUGUGAAAUUAGAAUCAGUGUUUGUUUAUCGAAUAUUAAUGAAUGUGUUAAUAAUCUUUGAUUUUCUUUUUUUUUCAUUUUUUUCAUUUUCGAUAUUAGAGUCAGUGUGUAUUAAAAAAAUAAAUCAUUCAUCACAAGAGGAUUAUCCAACAAAAAGAUGUCUUCUUCUUUUUACAUCCUAUUUGAUGAUCUUUUUGAUGACUUCUUCUAGGGCAUGAUGUUUGUAAUUGUUCAUCGCAUCUAAUGGAUUCCAAGCAACAACAAUUAUAAUAUACAUACAUAAUAUUUUAAUUUUUCGCGCGUUUUUGAAUGGAAAAAUAAGCAUCAUGGGCCAGCCAAUCAGAACAUCGCUUAAUUCUUGGCGCGAGACGAACCAGUGCGCAUCACACUGCGCAUCAUACUGCGCAUGGCGUUAGUCUACAGUUGAAAAUUGUGUGGAGUGGACGUGUCGUCGCGAAUUCGGAUUAUUAGGUAAGUUAUUUUACUCUAAUUAUUACUAAAUUUAUCAAUCGUUGUUAAUUUAAGUUUUUAAAUAAUCCAUUCAGUGUAGUGAAAACGAAAUUAAUUAGUUUUUUGUGUUUCUUUGCGUCUUUUCCUUCGAUUGUUCAUUUUGCGUUUAUUGCGUCAUUAACGUCUCGUAUCGAAAUAUUUCGAAACAGAAUUUGAAGUGGUAUAUUCGUCUUUUUUAAUAUAAUUUUAAUUAAGUUCUUGAUCUUUAUUUUUUAUUAUUUUAGUCGUAUUAAAAUAAAAUAAAUUUUUCACGGUUCGUCAAUUUAUUUCGUGAAAUCGUAUUAUUCGAGUGUCGCAUAUUUUUUCGAUUGUAUAUAUAUAUUGUGUGUAACGUCUCACGUAUGUGUUUAUUGUUUACUUUUUUUGGUCAUUUAUAUUUUGCUCGAGGGUAGAAACAAUCCUUAUAACAUUGUGUAUAUAUAUUUCCAAGAAAUUGGAUUCGUGUCCAAACAUGUUUCGACUUGUCGAACGUAUCCCCUCUCCAUAUUGUUAUUCGAUGCGCGAAAUCGAAUGCGCAAAGUGACAUUAUUGGUUGAUUCGUCGUGAAUAUUAGACGUUUGAAAUUUUCUCGAGACGUGUGUUCUAUUUAGUGCGUAAUAAUUUAAUACUGUUUCUUUUUUUUUUUUUAUCAUUUGUGCGUUUUUGUUAUUUAAUUAAUACAUCUUUGUUCAAUAUUCUAUACAAUAUUAUUAAAAUUGAUAAUUCUUUGACAAUUAAAUCAUUUUGAGUUCAUUUCUCAUUCUUCGUAUAAAUGGAGUGUCGAAUUUAAUAAGAUAGGUUACAUCGUGAAUUUUUAUUUGAUUUGAUUGUUGUGAUACUUUAUUAACGUAAUCUAAUUUCAUACAUUUUAUUUAAUUGAUUUAUUUAGAAGUUUUGAUUUUUUUCUGCGCAGGUUUAAUUGGUAGCGUCAUGAUGGUAGCUCUCGGGAAGGCGGGAAAAAUUCCAAUAUGGACGCCUUUUUUGAUAUGGUAAAAUUUUAUAUUUCGUAUGUAUAAAUUUUUAUUCUGUUUUAUAGGAUUAUUAGUGAUUGUUGUUAAGCAAUUCAUAAUAAAAUUACGUUUUAGUUAAAAGAAAGCGAAAAAAUUAGAAAUUUAUGAAGCACUUUCAUGAUUUAUACAUAAUUCGUAAUUUAGCAAUAUUUUCAGAACAAAUGUACGAUAGAAAGAAGAAGAGUAAUAUCAAAAAGAUAUUGUUUCUUCUUUUAUCUCUUUCCCAUCCCACUAAUUUAAUGUUAAUUUCAGAAAAUAUUUGUGACCGCGCGCAAUGCGGUUAAUAGAAUCAGUGUUUGCUUCGUCAUAGUAUUUUUAAUAUUUUUUAGAGCACAAUAGCUCUGAUUAAAUUUAAUUAGAAUAAUCAAACGCGAAGAUAGAAUCAGUGUUUGUUCGCCGAUUAUAUUAUAAUUUAUACG